rnacentral:rRNA from 1 species
GGCGAACGCUGGCGGCGUGCUUAACACAUGCAAGUCGAACGGAAAGGCCCUGCUUUUGUGGGGUGCUCGAGUGGCGAACGGGUGAGUAACACGUGAGUAACCUGCCCUUGACUUUGGGAUAACUUCAGGAAACUGGGGCUACUACCGGAUAGGAGCUCCUGCUGCAUGGUGGGCGUUGGAAAGUUUCGGCGGUUGGGGAUGGACUGGCGGCUUAUCAGCUUGUUGGUGGGGUAGUGGCUUACCAAGGCUUUGACGGGUAGCCGGCCUGGGAGGGUGACCGGCCACAUGGGGACUGAGAGACGGACCAGACUCCUACGGGAGGCAGCAGUGGGGAAUAUUGCACAGUGGGCGGAAGCCUGAUGCAGCAACGCCGCGUGCGGGAUGACGGCCUUCUGGGUGUAAACCGCUGUCGCCUGUGACGAAGCGUGAGUGACGGUAAUGGGUAAAGAAGCACCGGCUAACUACGUG